rnacentral:tRNA from 1 species
GAGGGUAUAGCUCAAGUGGUAGAGUACAUGCUUAGCAUGCACGAGGUCCUGGGUUCAAUUCCCCAUACCUCCU